CUGCCCAACGGUCCAACGGCCCCCCACCAUUCUGCCCAAAGGCCCACCGACUUACCCGCCCACCGGCCCAAGGGCCCAAAGGCCCGCUGGCCCCCCACCAGCCCAACAGCCCGCCCAAGGGCCCAAAGGCCUACCCACCCACCAGCCUGAUGCCAUCGUCCUUGUAUCAAGGGUACCCAUGCCACAGCUGGGGAUCUCAGUGGCCACUGAGUCCAAGCACACACCAACAAGCAGGCACCGGGCCUCUGUGCGUUGCUUGAACACUGCCAGGGAUGAGGAGCUCAGUACCAGGCUUCCCGAGCCAGCCCAUUCCUCUGUGGGCAGCCCUCCUCCCUGAUGGGGCCCCUUGGCAUUCCUCCGGUCACUCCCGCUGGUGCGGAGCCUCUUCUCAGCCUCCUGAGAAGGCCCUCCUCCCCUCCCCAUCCCUCUUCCAGGUCACCUGGUGGCCCUCCUGGCUACUGUCUCUGCCCAAGCCUCGGAGACAGCCCACGCUGGUGGGGAGGAGAAAGGGCCACUGCCAGCGGGUGGCCCCCAGGGUGCCCCUCCCGCCUGGCUCGCCAAAGAGAUGGAGGAUCACUCACGUGCCAGGAGGACAGGAAUCAAGAGCAGAACCAGCAGAGAACGCUCCGAUCCAAGGGCCCAGAGGAGACAUGGCCUCCCCUGUGGUGCCUCUUGGUGAUCCAGGGACCGAGGAUAAGGACCACGGACGUGGUGCUGAUGGCCGGAUGCUUAGCAAGCCCUCCUGGGGCAGCAGCUCAGGGCUCCAGAGGUCAAGAAAGCACCCCGAGUGGGAGAGACCCAGAUUCUAAGGCCCAGGAUGUCACACCUUGAUGCUCUUUGAAAACCCAUCGCACUGCCGGGCACCACCAAGGGGGCUCCGACCCAGCCAGUGUGGCCCGUGGCAGCUAAAGAGCGUGGCCGGGUGCCUCAUGGGAGAAGGGAUCCAUUCAGAAAUCCCGUGCCUGGCGCUGGGGCAUUGCUGCCCUCCGAGCAUUUGUCCAGACCGGGGCCGCCUGCGGGUGCUGAUUCCUGCCGGGUGAGCUAGGAGGAGGCUGAAAGGAACACUGGCGGGAGCUACCGCAAGGGGGCAGAACCCCGCUCGGAGCCUCUCAGCAGGUCACCCUGACAUCUGGGAAGCCAUGCCCGAUACCCAGGCCCAUCGCACUCCUUCCUGCCCGCAGACUUAGGAGCUGCCCUGCCAGGAGGAGGCGCACACCAGCCUCGGUGGACGCUGGGUUGCUGAAUGAUGGCUGCCGGGGCUGAUUUUGCAGGGGGUGAUGAAAUGACCACCUGCGGGAAGGAGUGUGAGGCUUCCCAGGGAAGACGAACUGAGCCUGGAGGGGGCCGAGGGUGGGGGACGGCGGAGGACAGGCCCAGAAAGACGAGGGCUCGGACGCCCCUGGUGUUGGGGACUCUGGCGGGGGGAGUGGCUGCCCGAGGGGUCCGAACCUGAGGAAAUAAAGUGCACAGAGGAAGGGGCA
rnacentral:lncRNA from 1 species